rnacentral:misc_RNA from 1 species
GAAAUGCGAUACUUGGUGUGAAUUGCAGAAUCCCGUGAACCAUCGAGUCUUUGAACGCAAGUUGCGCCCUACGUAUUACCGCGGCGGCUGGCACACCGAUU